AUCUACGGUUUGUAAGAGAAACAAUGUUCAACCAUUGGGUCAGUGCAAUGCAGAGAUUGGUGGAUUUAUCAGAGGUACAGGAAGAUACAAACCGUUUCUUGACUGAGAUUGAGGCUGAUUGAACGGAAAAAGCCAAGAAGAUCUUAUUUUUAUGCGAUUCCUUGGGUCAAGAAGGCACCCCAGAUGAUGAUAUUCUCUUUUCUUUCGUUGCGCAGCCUCACUUUAUAUGCUUGUCUCCAUUUAUCAGUGAGGAAUCUGCUGUCUGCUGCUCGCAUCUGUGAACAGACUUCUUUCACCUUUGGCAUUGCUAAGAUAAUGUCCGUUGGAAGCUACUGCAGCCUAUAAGCUCCAAGUCAAGAAACUUAAAAAUUAAAACAGUUGGCAUCUUCAUGUAGUGCCUACAUGUUUGCAUUUAUGAAUCUAUUCUUGGUUUGUAAGAGCAAAUCAGCCAACAAGGAAAAGUUUUUGGCUUUCUGGAUGUGGAGGAAUCCUAGGGAGGCAUGACAACUUGUAGCAUCAACAUCUUGUCCCCUUCCUUAGGCCAAGGAGUCAUGCACAUGCAGUCACCAUAAAGUUCUCUAAGUUGCGGUUGAUUUAACCUGCUAGAUGGUAUCAAUCUUUAUCCCUUGCACCAGGUUCAAAUUAAGUGGUGACAGAGGUUGAAGUUUGGAACCAACCAUUUGAUUCUCAAACGGAUUGCUUUUAGCAAGUGGACAAGUAUUUGUUGGAACAUGGUUGAUUACUCACCAAAAAACAUUACACAUCUUCAUUCAUUACAGUUUAGCUUGCAUAAGUGUGCUAGUGCUGCAGUGGAAUGUGUCAUUUACCAGAGCAGUUCAAGAUUGGGAAGUGGGAGACAUUUCUGAUUUCUACAGCACCUUGUAUGCACUGAAUUUGGAGCGUGGCGUGGAGGACAAACUGCUGUGGACACACCCCGGGAACAAAAAAUUCUCGGUUAAAUCUUUAUAUAAGGCUAUGUAUACCCACUCUUCUCAAAAUUUCCCUUGGAAGCGCAUUUGGAAGAGCAAAGUGCCCCCAAAAGUUGCUUUCCUCAGUUGGCUGGCCUCUCACUCCAAAAUUCUGACCAUAGACAAGUUGAGGAAGUAUGGUUUUUUUAUAAUGGAUUGGUGCUUCAUGUGCAAAAGGAAUGGCAAAUCGACAGACCAUCUUCUUCUCCAUUGUGAUGUGGCAAAGGCUCUAUGGGAUAAGUCUUCUUAAGGCUGGACAUUGCUUGGGUAAUGCCCAAGAAGGUGGUGGACCUAUUGGCUUCAUGUUGGAGCUGAUCACGGGGAAAUUGUCCAGUAGCGGAUGUUGGAAGAUGGUGUCCUUAUGUCUUAUGUGGUGUAUGUGGAAUGAGAGGAAUGAAAGAUGUUUUGAAAAUAGUGAUCGCUCAUUGGAGGGGAUUAGAGACUCAUUUUUCCAAACUUUGUUACUUUGGGCUAAGACUAUUGUAUUAGAUGGGGGUGAUUUUAGUGACUCGUGUGCGUCUUUUUUUGUUUGUAGACUGUAAUUAGGUAUUUCUCUUUUGUAUACCACCUGUGUA